CUUGGUUUCAAUAAGACUCCUAUUUAGGAUGAACGCUGGUGUCAUGCAUAACACAUGCAAGUUCGACGGGAAGUAGUGUUUCCAAUGGCGGACAAGUGGGUAACGUGUAAGAACCUACUAUUGGGAAGGGUACAACAGCUGGAAACGAUUGUUAAUACCUCGUAAGCUGAGGAGCAAAAUGAGGAAUUCACCUAAGGAAGGGCUCGCGUCUGAUUAGCUAGUUGGUGAUACAAUAGGUUGGUAACUUACCAAGGUGAUGAUCAAUAGCUGGUCCGAAAGGAUGAUCAUCCACACUGGGGCUGUAACAUGGCCUAAACUUCUAUAGGAGGCGGCAAUGGGAAUUUUCCGCAAUGGGCGAAAUCCUGAUGGAGCAAUGCCGUGUGGAGGUAGAAGGCCUACGGAUCGUGAACUUCUUUUCUCAGAGAAGAAGCAAUGACGGUAUCUAGGGAAUAAGCAUCGGCUAACUCUGUGCCAACAGUUGCGGCAAUACAGAGGAUGUAAGCGUUAUCCGGGAUGAUUGGGCGUCAAGCAUCUAUAGGAUAAAACAUUUU
rnacentral:rRNA from 1 species